rnacentral:rRNA from 1 species
UACGAACCGUACAAACGUUAUUCGGAAUCACUGGGCUUAAAGGGUGCGUAGGCGGCCAUGUAAGUGAGGUGUGAAAUCCCUCGGCUCAACCGAGGAACUGCGCUUCAUACUGCAUGGCUUGAGGGAGACAGGGGUAAGCGGAACUGAUGGUGGAGCGGUGAAAUGCGUUGAUAUCAUCAGGAACACCGGUGGCGAAAGCGGCUUACUGGGCCUCUUCUGACGCUGAGGUACGAAAGCUAGGGUAGCGAACGGG